AGGGAAUAUUAGUAAUGGGCGCAAGCCUGAACUAGCAACGCCGCGUGUGCGAAGAAGGCCUUCGGGUUGUAAAGCACUUUUUGAGAGGAUGAGCAAGGACGGUACUCUCAGAAUAAGUCUCGGCUAACUACGUGCCAGCAGCCGCGGUAACACGUAGGAGGCGAACGUUAUCCGGAUUUACUGGGCGUAAAGCGCGUGUAGGUGGUUUGGUAAGUAGGGCGUGAAAGCUCCUGGCUCAACUGGGAGAGGCCGUUCUAAACUGCCGAACUAGAGGAUGGUAGAGGGAGGUGGAAUUCCGGGUGUAGCGGUGGAAUGCGCAGAUAUCCGGAGGAACACCAGUGGCGAAAGCGGCCUCCUGGACCACUCCUGACACUCAGACGCGAAAGCUAGGGUAGCAAACGG
rnacentral:rRNA from 1 species